GUCAGUCAUUUUGUUUAGUUUUUGAUUUUAUUUUAUUUUUGUCUUUAUUUCUAAAAAGCAUGAUUGUAAUUACAGUUAAUAUAUGAGAUUAUGUUAACACCCAAUAUACUUAAGCAUAUCUAUUAAAUAACAGUUUAUUUAAAUCAAUCUAGCUAGUGUUGAGAUUCAGUGGCAUCAACUAUAACAGUCCUCAUGUCUCAAUGUUUGGUUAAUAAAGUUUUAUUCAACGACGAGGGGGAAAAAAAGGACGUUAGUUUGCCAGGUUAGAAAUUUGUCACGCAGUUUAUUUGUUUUCUCAACUCACUUGAUUUAAUAAACCUAUAACUGAUGUAGGAUGUGUUUGAAAAUUACUAUUACCUAGACACAUUUUUGUGGCGUUUUUACAGACGUGAAAGCAAUUUAUUUUUUAUCGGUUAGCAUUAGCUUACUACCGGCGUUUAACCGAAUGGCGACACUAGUUAUUCGCUGUUUAGAAUAGUGUGGCCUUAUUCUGCUUUUUAUUUCACAGGUGGGGGGAAAAGUCGUAAAGAUGAGCGUAGAUAUUGUUUCUGACAAGAUUCACUCCCGACAUGACCCCAAAUGGAGCGGCCGUCUGGGCCCCGCGGAGAGCGGCGGGCUGCUGGUCUGUGUCGCCUGCGUCAUUGAGAUGAUCGAGAGCGACGACGUUUCGUCGGUGAGGAAGACUUUUGCUUUAUCUGCUGUCAGUGGGAUGUUUAAAAGCUCUCCGCGGGCUUUAAGAGACCUGCUUCGACAGGACCACCGGGUCUCUCUGCGUUUUACAGCUUCUCUCCUCGGGAUGCUUCACACCAUGGCGGACCAAGAUACACUGGAGAAGGUUGACCAAGGUAGCAAGACACAUGUUAUGUUUGUCUAGGUUUCAAAUCACUUAUAAACACAGCGCGACACUCUUUUUUUUUUGACAUC
rnacentral:lncRNA from 1 species